rnacentral:misc_RNA from 1 species
AAUUAUGCCUUGAAAAUCAUGCUGGGUUAAAUGAGAAUGACAACUCUGAGAAUUCAUCUGCAGCUUUUAGCAAUAUUCAUUAUGAUCGGCCCCAUAGUUCUGUUGAUUUUGCACUUACUGUUGUUCUUGAUCCUGCACAUAUACCUCAUGUUAAUGCUGCUGGUGGUGCUGCUUGGUUGCCCUAUUGUGUCUCGGUGAGGUUGAGAUAUUCAUUCGGGGAAAACAAUAAUGUGACUUUCCUUAGCAUGGAAGGAAGCCAUGGAGGAAGAGCUUGCUGGUUGCGUGUUGAUGAGUGGGAAAAAUGUAAACAGAGAGUGAUUCGAACUGUUGAAAUAAAUGGAUGUUCCACUGGAGAUGUUACCCAAGGAAGAUUGAGAAUCGUUGCAGAUAGUGUGCAAAGAACACUGAAUUUAUGCCUCCAAGGGUUAAGAGAUGGCAGUGGAGGAGUUGCUGCAAGUUCUGGGGCAACAUGAAUAAAUGCUUUCCUGCUUAUGGCGUAGAUCUUUGAAAUAGUUGAAGGUGGAUUUUAAUUCUCUUUGGGUUUUGUGUAGAUUUGUCAGUGUGGCAUGUCCAUUUCUAGGUUGGACAAUUUUGUAACUGGCAGUGGGCAGUUAUGCGGAUGGGAGGGAAGUCAUAAUAACAUUUCUCGGGGAAGUGUUUCGCAGGGUUGAAGAUUGUAUCAAGGGCCUUUCUUCUAUUCUUGUUAGCUAAUAUAAUCCUCUAAUGAGUAGGAUAUGUAGAAUAAUUUUGAAGAUAAGGGUAUGAUUGUAGCUGCUGUUUUUCAUUUGUACAGAAAUCACAAUUGCUGUCUGAGUGGGCAAACGUUUUAAAAAAAAAAAUUCAAGAUGCCCAAGGUUGUUAUCCUCUGUUUUUUUCUUCAAUUCAACUUCUCGUGUGGAGAACAGCUUCCAUACUUCGCCACCGGUUCUGGCCUGAAUAUGCGAUGCAGGGUUGAAUAAUGAACGAAC